UACCUGGUUGAUCCUACCAGUAGUCAUAUGCUUGUCUCAAAGAUUAAGCCAUGCAUGUGCAAGUAUGAACCAAUUUGAACUGUGAAACUGCGAAUGGCUCAUUAAAUCAGUUAUAGUUUGUUUGAUGGUACGUGCUACUCGGAUAACCGUAGUAAUUCUA
rnacentral:ncRNA from 1 species